rnacentral:rRNA from 1 species
GUCUAUGGUCAUGCCAUCCUGAACAAGUCUGUUCCUGUCUGAUCUUGGAAGCUAAGCAAGGUCAGCCCUGGUUAGUACUUAGAUGGGAGACCACCUACAGAGACUAGGUGCUGUAGGCA